UUAUAUAAUUGCUAUCAAAUUAGUUUUAGGGACUGCGGCUACUAUAAUAACAUGAGGAUCAUAUGCAUGCAUGAAGAUGAAGAUACUAAUCGAAGAAGGUAAGUAUAAUACAAUAAGGAAGGCGACAGAAGAGAGUGAGCACACAUGGCUCCCUUUUUUCUAGCAUGCUCAUGCAAGAAAGCUCUGCGUGCUCACCCUCUUCUUGUCUCCUUCUCUCUUUACAUAUAUAUAGUGUUUAGUAUUUCUGAGUAUUUGUAUAUUUACAUAUAUGCAACUGCAUGCAUGGCAGCAUGAACGAUGAGAAAGUCUAUAUAGAUGGACAUACAAAUCAAAUAAUCAAUACUAACAUUUUGUUUGCUAGUUGAAGUAUACAGAUCAAUCUUAAAUCUUUUUCAUUGUUGUUUUAUGCCUCACAUACAUACACUACUGGUACUUAUACUAUUCAAAAGUGUUGCAGUUAGCAAAAUCUUCAUCAUAAAUGCUCAAAUAGGUGCUGGAGAGCUCUUUUUUUUUUGUGAAUCAGUCGCGGAUUUAUACACAGACCAUGGUAUAGAUAAUUGAUGAUUAAAAACUAAUUAAUAAACAUUACAUCAAUUUGAAAUAAGGAUACAUAGAGUUUUUGUUUGUUCAAAGGACCCUUUGUUGAAAGGAUACAUAGAGUUUUACAACCAUGCGUCUGUGGUCGAGUGGUUAAGGCGUUCUGUGGAUUUCCAAGGGACCCGAGUUCAAAUCCGCAACACACCAGAUUUCCACGCGCGUGGCCACCGAGGUUUUUGACAUUCUCGGUCCGGGGAAUUAUUUACCAUUUUUUUACAUAGAGUUUUAUUUGUUGAAAGGAUGAGCUUUGGAGUUAAAAAAAAAAGAAAUUUGCCAAAAUAGAACAAAAAAAUAAACUCUUUGUCCCCUUAGUAUAAAAUUAAAACCAACCUAAAUUAGCCACUUUAGUAUAAUAUUUUUAAAAUCUCCAAUCUAUACCUUACUUAGUUAACAAUUUAAAAACUCACUUUUAUAUAUCAAUUAAAAACAAAAACGAAUUUUGAACCCAAAAAAAGAAAAAAAAUUAAAUCAAAAUCUAAUUAAAAAAAUCUAAAUAGAAACAAAAAAAAGAAAAAAAAUACUCAAAUGAAUUUAAUAUUUGAAUUCUGUUUAGUUUUAUUUUUUGAUUAUUAUAAAAAAUUGUCAUAAUUUUCUACAAUUUGAUUUAAUAUACCUUAAUCCAAAAAACAUAAAUGAAAAUAUAUCUAAGAUUAUAAUUCUAAAUAUCGACAUAUAUAUUUUUAAUAUACUUUAAAAUAAUUCAAUUUUUUUUUGAAAAUCAAUUUUAGAAAAUAAAUAAAUGAGAAUCGAUUUUUUAUUUUUAUUUUUUGGCAAGAAAAAUAGAUGAAACACGUUUUAGGAAAGUAAAUAGAUUUUAAAAUAUUUUUAGAAUAUAUUGUAACCGAACUUGCCAUAUUUUCAAAAAUAUUGGUAUUCUUAUCCGUAUAAUGUACCUUCUACAUUGCGUAGAAACAGCACAAUAAUUCCAUAAGUAGAUUUUACCACAUGUAGCCGUCUGAAUUGUGUCUAAAUUUUGCAUACUUGAAAUUUUAGAAUAUCUCAUAAAAGUAGAAACUACAUUCACAAAAAAAUAUAGCUAUCUUCACAAUUAGUAGAAUUCACAUUUCUCACAUUUAGAAAUUUAAUUAAAAGUAGAUUGUACGUUUUAAAACAAAUCUGAAAUUCUAUUUCUACUAACCCAUUUUUCGUAUAAGAUGAAAUCUACUUUUCGUAAAACAUAAUUUAUCAAUUGUUUCAAUUUUGUAUAAUUGUUUUGAAUCAUAAAACUAUUUAUUUCAUUAUGUUUUAAAAUGAAAAAUGUAAAAGGGAUAAAAUGGACUAAAAUGGUUUUAUACCAAAUGGAUAAAUAGGCUGGAUUUUUGUUCCGUUUUGACAAAUUUCCCUCAAAAAAGGAGGACUAGUUAAGGCUGAAGGGUUCUCAUGAGAAGGAGAAAUUAUAAAUAGCAAGAAAAGAUCAUAAAGGAACUCGGGGAACUCACUAAAGGAGCAAGAGACAAGAGGCAUGAGGCUUGAAGAUUAAUUGUGUGCUUCUGCUUCAUGACAUUUGAAGAGAAGUAAGUUGAGGAUCAGAGAUUCGAUUGUUUGUUUGUGCUUAUAUUCAUAUAAAUGUAGUGAUCUUAAAAAGGUGAAAUCACAAAUUCAUAACCAUAGGUAUUUUAAGUAGAAGAGUGAGAAAAGAGCUACUAAUUUGAGUCCAAUGAUGAUUCUGAAGGGAUGCUAUUUUGUUUCGGAUAAAAUACAUAUACAAUCUCAAAUGAUAACGUAUAUACUGAAGGGAAGCUCUAAUAGUGC
rnacentral:lncRNA from 1 species